rnacentral:rRNA from 1 species
CACGUAGGGCGCAAGCGUUGUCCGGAAUUAUUGGGCGUAAAGAGCUCGUAGGCGGUCUGUCGCGUCGGCUGUGAAAACACGGGGCUCAACUCCGUGCCUGCAGUCGAUACGGGCAGACUAGAGUGCGGUAGGGGAGACUGGAAUUCCUGGUGUAGCGGUGAAAUGCGCAGAUAUCAGGAGGAACACCGGUGGCGAAGGCGGGUCUCUGGGCCGUAACUGACGCUGAGGAGCGAAAGCGUGGGGAGCAAACAGG